AUACAAUUUACUUAUGAAUUAAAUGGAUAAAACUGAAAGCAUAGACACGAUUGCCAAAAACGAAUAUAGUUUAAAUAUCGAUUCAUUUAAAAUCCCAUAUAAAUAGAGCUUUGACUAAUUUUUAUUCUUUCACGAAUCUAUUAACUGCUAACAAAUACAGUUGACAUAGGAAUAGGAAACUACUACGAGUAAAUAAUCUCCUCUCCCUGUAACUGAGUUAAAUUACGAUCAUCAAAAUUUUCACAUCACUCCAGCAACUUUAAUAUACAGAGAAAUAACAGAGCCUAUGCUUCAAAUACUUCUUUAGCUUUAGAAUUCACCUCCAUAAGGGUGAGGGCUAGUCAGGUAUGUCUACCAUGCUACCUUAUUCGAACAUAACAACUAUAGUUAUUACAUGAGCUAUUUUGGCCACCAACAAAAUCUUUCCUCUUGAGUCUUGAUGUUGAGAUUUUGAAUUUGCUGAAAAUAUGACAGGUUUUUAUAUUACCCGUUACACUUCUAAACUGAUGAUGCCUCCAACGUUUAGGUUUCAGCUAAUGACAUAACUUUUCCUUUCAUUCUUCUGUGAUCAUAUUUUCUGGUGCUGAUGAUGCAACGGAAGAGUACUGCAGUGGUGUGCUUGAAACAAACAGGAGAGGCUUCGGUGGAAUUUGCAGGGAUUGAACAUUAACUUCCAACAUCUCUAAUACCUUUGUCAUUGAAGGUCUAUCUGAUGGAUUUGUCUGAAUGCACCACAAGCCCACUAUGAUCAUCCUUCUUAUCGUUUCUUCUUCUUCUGUUGUUAUGUUUCUAUGAAGUCUAGAAAUCUCUCCUGAUUCAAUGUGUUUAUAUAUCCAAUUUGGGAAGUAUAUAUCGCUGGUGUCAGAAACUCCUGCUUCAGUGUUGUUUUUUCCUCCAAAGAUUUCAAUAAUCAUCAUUCCAUAACUAUACACAUCAGACUUAUACGAAACCCCUCCAUAGCUUCUCAUGAAUACUUCUGGAGCUAUAUACCCAGCUGUCCCUCUCGCACCCAACAUCGACACCAUACUUUCCUUUCCCUUGCAUAAUUUUGCAAGACCAAAAUCAGAGAUUUUAGGACAAAAAUUUUCAUCUAGAAGAAUGUUAUGAGGUUUUAUGUCAAAAUGCACAAUCCUUGUAUUACAACCUCUAUGCAAAUACUCUAAACCUCUAGCAGUGCCAAUUGCAAUGUCAUAUAACAUUUUCCACCCUAAAUCACAGUUAUCAUGCUGAGAUCCUGGAUCAUUUAUGAACUUAUCUAAAGAUCCAUUGGGCAUGUAUUUAUAGAUCAAAGCUCUUCUAGUCCUCUCAUAGCAAAACCCUAAAAGAGUAACUAUAUUUACAUGGGAAGUUCUACUAAUGCUUCCAACUUCAUUAAUGAAUUCUUCCCCCUCACCUGUAGACUUGCUUAGAACUUUUAUGGCCACAAAGCGACCAUCUGGUAAUUUUCCUUUGUAUACACCUCCAAAUCCUCCUUCACCUAGCUUAUGGAUGAAUGAGUUGGUCAUUUUCUUUAUAUCUGCGUAUGAAUAUCGCUUUGGCAUGAGAGAAGGAUAGUUCAUAAUAAAUGCCUCUAUCUUUUCAUCUUCUUUACUAUUUUCCCACAACAAUGUCUUUACUUUGUCACUGCAAAAUCCUCGUCUUCUAAUAAAACAAUAGUAGCAUCCAAUACAAACAAUGACAAUAGUAGUGGCUGCUAUAGCAAGUCCUGGAAUGAAUCAGAUUUUCGUGUUACUAACCCUGCAUAAAAUUAAAGCUAAAAUAUGUCUAAAAAUUGUUGGUAAAGAACCUGACCUAUUCCCAGCGAAGUUCGAUUAGAUUUGCCCCCUGCAAGAAUCAUGAGAAACAUGAAUGACUCAUUGAAAUUAUAUUCAGUUGGGAGAUAUUUCCACCUAACCAAAAGCACUCUAAGACAUGCCUUAUGUUGAUUAUCUUAAUUGAUAUCGCUCAAGUAUGAAUUAACCGUGAUUUGAAUAGACUAUAUGGACAUGCAGAUCAUUGGCUCAAACAAUCCAACACUGUAAAUGAAGCAGCUGAGUGACAGGGAAACCAGAAUACAAUUUGACCACGAUUUCUAUUUAGUUCAAUUUUAUGUAUCACCAGGAAUACAACUACCUUUGCAGACUUGUUAUGAUUGCUUAAGAGCCAUAAGGGCAAGUAACAAAUGAAUUUAACAUUUACAGCACCCAGAAAGCAACAAUCGAAAUCCAAAAACGUUCAAGAGACAAACAAAGGAAGGUUUAUCAAAUGAAGACUUAAUAUUCCUGUAGAUAAAUUUCAGGAAAGAAGCCAGAACAGAGCAUACCAUCUUUGGCUGAGGAUGUUGCACAGGUGAACGGAUAACGCUGGCCAGGACAAUAACAAGUAAAUGCACUUGCAGUGGAGUUGUAACCACACAGCCCACCGGACAAUUCACAUGAUUUACACAAGGUAUCAUUUGCAGUCCACUGCAACCCAAAACCCUGUUCAAGAACUUCAACCAAAUUCUCCUCUGUUGGAUUGCUCUCUAUGCGUUGAACAACUGAUUGAUUUGCAGGAACAAUAAGACGACUGCCGCACGUUCUCAAGUAAGUGCUAAUUACGGUGGGAAAGCUAUCUGCGUGCCUUGUCAAAUAAAAAUUUUGGCUAUUGACGCUGCUUAAGUUGCAAGAAAACGGAGAGGAAAACCCUGGAGUUGUGGGAAAUGACAUGUUGGUGUUGGGGCAGCCAUAGAACAGAGUUAUAUUCUGAAUAUCAGCAGCAUAAGUGAAAAGAUUGGGGUCCAAAGUGGUGUUGGAAAGGACACUGGGACAGAGAUUUGCUAUGUAAUCUGCUCUGGCAACUGUGAGAGUCUGUGACUGGCUAUUGAUCUUAAGGACUUGGUAAGUUAAAUUCAUGAUUGUGAUCUCUGCCGCUUGGCCUUUGCAAUUAAGCUGGAACCCCAAGUGGCCACAGUAACUUGGCUGAUUGGAUCCCCAGAAAGGAUAGGCAACACCCGAAAGGUUUCCGCACUGAAAUGAGGAGCUGCAGUUUCUGCUUUGCUCAUCAGCUUGGGCAAACACACGGGUCGGAUUACGAAUAUUUAAGAUUAUGGUCAUGAAUAUGAAUAUGAAGAACACAGCCAUGGCCUGGAGGAGAUUGGGCUGCAUUGAAAGAGAGAGAGAGAGAAGAA
rnacentral:misc_RNA from 1 species